CUUUUUGAAAAUAUUUAAAGUCGUGCCUGCCCACUGAUGAUUUUAAAGGGCCGCGGUAUUUUGACCGUGCAAAGGUAGCAUAAUCAUUAGUCUUUUAAUUGAAGACUGGAAUGAAUGGUUUGACGAAAUGACUACUGUCUCGGAAUUAAUUGUUGAAUUUUACUUUUGAGUGAGAAGGCUCAAAUUGAAUUGAGGGACGAGAAGACCCUAUAGAUCUUUAUAUUAAUUUAAAUAAUUUAUUUUGGUGGUUUUAUAUUUUAUUUUUUAUUAAUAUUGUAUUGGGGUGAUAUGAGAAUAUGAAUAACUUCUCUUAUAUACAACAUGGGUUUGUGAUUUAAGUAUCCUUUUUUAGGGAAUAAAGAUUAAGAUACCUUAGGGAUAACAGCGUUAUUCUAUUAGAGAGUUCAAAUCGAUAAUAGGGAUUGCGACCUCGAUGUUGGAUUAAGAUUAUAUAUUGGUGUAGGUGCUGAUUGUGUUAGUCUGUUC
rnacentral:rRNA from 1 species